rnacentral:rRNA from 1 species
AUGAGACUCCUCCUUGUCGCGGCGGCCCUGGUGGCCUGCGCCGCCGCGCACGAGCACCACGGCGAGGCUCCCACCUGCGCCGGCGGCGGUGGUCGCGUGGUCGCGGAGUUCCGCCCCGGGGAGGUGACCCUGGACGGGCACCCCGCCGACUGGGAGGCCGUUGAGGCCUCGGAGUUCGCGUUGCUCCCGGCGCUGGACCCCGACGACGACAAGGCCUACACCGGUGGCAAGGUCGCCGUCAAGGCUGUGCAUGAUGGCGUCAAUGUUUUCUUCAUGCUGCAAGUUGAUGGGGACUAUGCUUACACUAAAGGUGAAAGUAAAAAGUGCCCCUCUGUUGCUCUGAUGUUCCAAGUUGGAGAAAAAGCCACAUAUUACAACAUGGGAGGGUGCAAGGAUUUGCCUGGUUCAUGUACGAGAAAAAGUUGCAGAGAUCAUGAGGUCGACAUUAUGCACUUUUCAGUUGGAAAUGCUAUUCCUGGACGUCUUUAUGGUGGCAAUCACAUAGAUAAUGCAGCUGGAAACGGAGGUGAUAGAUUUGGCCAUCUUGUUGAUGUCUAUGCAUGGAAUCCCCAUUGCCGCUACCUUGAUGGUAUAGGCCCAAAAGAAAACAAUUCAAAUGCUCAAAAUGACUGGCAUGGGGCUUGGUGGCACAGUUCCCUGACCUUCCAUUCAGGUUUUGUGGAUGAUGACAGUCCUUAUGGAAAGAAAGAUGACAAGGGCACAUAUUACUUUGAGUUCUCAAGGCCCCUAAGAACAAUGGACCAGUUUCAGCAGGAUGCGCAGUUCACAAUAGGCGAGCCCAGCAAUAUGGCCGUAGCUUUCUGGUACCCAACUGACGGCAAACCAUGGAGCAACUCCCAGCAUUACUCAGCCAGCUGCGACUGGGUGACUCUGGACAUACAGCCUUCAUUGGAAGCUGCUCGAUACCGCCCAGCCCCUAACCGUUCGUGGGAUGCUGCGACCGCCUUCGCCUUGCUCCUUUCAGUGGUGGCCGUUUGCGUGUCUAUCUUUGUGGGCUACUCAGCUUCGAAGAACAAGAGCGGUGUCCAAUUUACUCAGCUGGCAGAGACCUAG